rnacentral:sRNA from 1 species
UUCCAGUUAGUUCACCUCUUUGUCAUGCGGUUCUAAAAACUCUUCAAUAUUGGGAACAAGUUCUUCUCCGACGACUUGAAAUCCAUGGUGGGCCACCUCAAAAUUAUAUCGCAAGUCAUACCGCCGAAGAGAGUUUGUCUGCAGGUCCUGCAAUUCUUCGCCACAAAGCUUUACUGGAACCUACAAACACUCCUUUCAAAUCCAAACACCAUCUGGCACUGUCUGUGAAGAGGCUUUGGCAGUAUUUGGUGAAGCAGGAAGAAAUUCAGGAAACCUUUAUCAAAAAUAUAUUCACAAAGAAACGGUGUCUAAAUGAGUCAUUAGAGGACAACAGUGAAACCAUCAAAAAUUCUAUGAUGGAGGAGCCAAACAUCAA